ensembl:lncRNA uncharacterized LOC114850675
GUUUAUUCUUCACUGUUUCAUGUCAUUGAUGUCAUGAGCUGCUUUCAAAGUUUGAAAUUCAAAUUUGAGCUUUGUUUGAAAAAUGUCCAUUGUCACAUUUCUGGACUAGUUUCAAGCAGAGAAGAAGCAGAUCAUUAUCUCAACCGCAGUACACGGACAAUGAGAGCGAUUUCUUUGUAAGUGGCUCCUCCUGAGUCACUCCUCAGCUAACGACACCAUACAAAAGGAGAAACACGAAUCUGCCAGUUGUGGAGACACCAACGCGUUCACCAUGUCGCUGUUCCUGCUGCUGUUGAUGCUGGCCACCUGUGACUCUCAAUAUAAUCUACUUACUGUCCCAUUUAAGGGGGCAGUGAUGACUUACUAUCCAAAAAACACUACCACAACUGAUUUUAUGGUGAAUGUUCGAUAUACAGUAUACUAUGAGUUGUGCACAAAUCUGGGGUGGCAGUGUCUGAGUGGGGACUGCGGUGGUGAGAAUACAGUGGUGUACACUGUCAAGUCCAGUGACAUUGAGGGCUGGUGUCAGACGGAGGGAGUCUCAACUCGGCAGAUUCCCAGCAACGCCCCAUUUCAGUUGUGGUUCAAUGGCAGUGACUGGACAAGUAACGCCAAUGGAAUAGUACGUUCCAAAGCGGUGACUCUGGUGGAGCUGAGGACUCGGUCGGACACUGGCAAAGCCAACACCUCCCCCCAGACCACCAUCCUGGCAGAUCUGAGAGUUCCUUCGAACUGUGAGAGAGUCUACAGUCUCUUGGCCUUUGACCCUGAUGGAGAUGAUGUUAAAUGUAGACCAGGAAAUGCAUCGCUCUCUGAAUGUGACACCUGCACACUCCCUUUGGGUCUCGUUUUAGACAAUUGCACUUUUUCACUGAUGAAUUCCAGCGUCCUUGAAGGAAGCCUAAAAUAUGUUAUACAGCUUGUGAUGGAGGACUUUCCCAGGCAGACAAUCACUUUGACUCAAUCUGACGGUUCUCGGGCAACGUUAACUACCAGUGAUGCGAUCAGCAAAAUCCCUGUGCAGUUUCUUUUGCAAUUGGAUCCUCCUGCGCCAUCCUGCACAGAGGGACUGUAUAUUCCCCAGUUCCUGCCUCCAACCCCAACCCAUGGAGCUCUUUUCAUCACUAGAUAUCUGCAAAUAGACAUCACAGUCCAGGCAAAUCUCUCCACGAUUUCAGACCUUGUCGUCAGUGGGCCACAUAACGUAAUCGUGACCUUAUCGGGACCAGGACAGUUCACUCUGUCAUGGUCACCAAUUCAGGAUGAGGACGGAGAAAGCCACUCCAUCUGCUUUGUUGCUGAAGCAACACUCAAUUCAGUUGUGUAUCAGUCAGUCCUUCGAUGUGUUAUUGCGAUCGUUGAUUUGACCCCAGCAGCCCCUUCUAUACCUGUCUCACCUCUAUAUGUUGUCAACAAUACCGAACCAGCCACAACUCUGCCAGACACGGUUAACACGAGUAACAUCACGGAUUCACCCUCUCCACUAGUUGUUGGCACCACCCCGUCACCAAAUCCAGCCAGCGCUUCUACGCCUGCACCAAUGAAUAUUGUCGGCCUGAGUGUGAAGGUUUCCUCGCUGACCCCUCUGUCUGAUGCUGACAUCUUCCUGCAGGUGAAAAACAUACUGGUGAGUUUUGGGCUGCCCCAAGACGUCGUCGUAAGGAUCGUGAACGCGGUGCAGCUGUAA